rnacentral:rRNA from 1 species
GUCGCACGGGUUCAGACCCGUGGCGAACAGCUCAGUAACACGUGGCCAAGCUACCCUGUGGACACGGAUAACCUCGGGAAACUGAGGCUAAUCUGUGGUAUCGCUCUCAGGCUGGAGUGCCGGGAGCGUGAAACGUUCCGGCGCCACAGGAUGCGGCUGCGGCCGAUUAGGUAGACGGUGGGGUAACUGCCCACCGUGCCGAUAAUCGGUACGGGUGGUGAGAGCCAGAGCCCGGAGAUGGAAUCUGAGACAAGAUUCCAGGCCCUACGGGGCGCAGCAGGCGCGAAACCUUUACACUGCACGACAGUGCGAUAAGGGGACCCCGAGUGCGAGGGCAUACAGUCCUCGCUUUUGUGUACCGUAGGGAGGUACACGAAUAAGAGCUGGGCAAGACCGGUGCCAGCCGCCGCGGUAAUACCGGCAGCUCAAGUGAUGGCCGCUAUUAUUGGGCCUAAAGCGUCCGUAGCUGGCCGCACAAGUCCGUCGGGAAAUCCACCCGCCUAACGGGUGGGCGUCCGGCGGAAACUGUGCGGCUUG